GUGGGGAAUAUUGGGCAAUGGGCGAAAGCCUGACCCAGCAACGCCGCGUGAAGGAAGAAGGUUUUCGGAUCGUAAACUUCUAUCCUUGGUGAAGAUAAUGACGGUAGCCAAGAAGGAAGCCCCGGCUAACUACGUGCCAGCAGCCGCGGUAAUACGUAGGGGGCAAGCGUUGUCCGGAAUGAUUGGGCGUAAAGGGCGCGUAGGCGGCCUGGUAAGUCUGGAGUGAAAGUCCUGCUUUUAAGGUGGGAAUUGCUUUGGAUACUGUCGGGCUUGAGUGCAGGAGAGGUAAGUGGAAUUCCCGGUGUAGCGGUGAAAUGCAUAGAGAUCGGGAGCAACACCAGUGGCGAAGGCGACUUACUGGACUGUAACUGACGCUGAGGCGCGAAAGUGUGGGGAGCAAACAGGAUUAGAUACCCCGGUAGUCC
rnacentral:rRNA from 1 species